rnacentral:rRNA from 1 species
GCUCAGGGUGUCGAGGUUGUCAUGCUUUGUUGCUGGGUUCAUCUGGUGGCCUGCUGCCAGUGCAUUCUCAGCCAAAGUUGGACCGUCAGUCAGGAAGAGUCUGUGACCUGCUUAUCGAUGUUGGGGAGGUAGGCCUUGUGGUUCCUUCGGGUUCCCGGGGUCACGUAUAGCCCUUCAUCGUGGUCCCAGUCGUCUUUCAGGUGCGUUGGAUGACUAAUCGUCCAUAAUUGGAAGGUGCAGUUUCCCCUUGUGGGAGAUCGGGCCUUCACUGCGGUUGCUUAAUGUCUUGGAGUAUGUGUUCCGUUCUCUCGCCGUUUGACUUGUGCUGCGGUGUAGGGUGCGGCACUGCCCUUGAUGUUGUGUCCCAAUGUGUUGUGUCCAAGUUCUGUGCCAAGGUGACUGGCGAGGAGUCGUUACUCUGUGA